CUAGCACUUUCACAGAUCCUCCCCCAGGCAGUGGGGCCAGGAUUUGGUAGCUGGUGCUGAAAGAAAACCCUUGAUUGCAUCCUUGCCCCGGGACCGUACCAGUGGCAGCUGUCACUCAGUGGAACAGAG
ensembl:snoRNA SNORA30 small nucleolar RNA, H/ACA box 30